rnacentral:misc_RNA from 1 species
UCCGGUUUGUCACCGGCAGUCUGGCGUGAGUCCCCAACUUAAUGCUGGCAACACGCCACGGGGGUUGCGCUCGUUGCGGGACUUAACCCAACAUCUCACGACACGAGCUGACGACAGCCAUGCACCACCUGUGAAAGUGUCCCGAAGGAAGACCGUGUUUCCACGGCUGUCACUUACAUGUCAAGCCCAGGUAAGGUUCUUCGCGUUGCAUCGAAUUAAAGAACAUGCUCCGCUGCUUGUGCGGGCCCCCGUCAAUUCUUUUGAGUUUUAGCCUUGCGGCCGUACUCCCCAGGCGGGGUGCUUAAUGCGUUAGCUGCGGCACAGAGAGGGUUGAUGCUCCCCACACCUAGCACCCAACGUUUACGGCUGGGACUAC